rnacentral:lncRNA from 1 species
GAUAGACUUAUUAUGUUCUACGUUUUGUUUUGUGAAGAGUCAUCUUGAGCUAAUGUAUGAAUAUGAGGCACAAGGGCACCUGAAUCAGCUCCCUGCACCCCGAGGUUUCUGAUACCGGAUUGCCUUCAGAUGGAUCCACCAUGGGAAAAGAAGUUCUUGUGUUACAACAACACAAAAUUCAACCAAGUAUCCCUGUUUCUCCCUCAGAGCCAAAGUGGAACAAGAAACCUCUUCCCUCUCCUGAAACAAUUCAAAGUGCUCCCACACGACCAGUGUUACUGUGAAUCUAUACAUGACAGUAGCAACUAUGUGGUUCUUCUACAUUGUAAUACCUGCUGGAAAUGCCUCAUAUUCGGACAUGUAAUCUGUGUAACAAUUGAUGCUUCUUCAUGCCGACACCCUUAACAAAUAUGCAUAAUAAACUUGUAUUGAUUGUAAUCUAAACUCUAAUA